rnacentral:rRNA from 1 species
UACGGAGGGUGCGAGCGUUGUCCGGAAUCACUGGGCGUAAAGGGCGCGUAGGUGGCGACGCAAGUCAACGGUGAAAGCUCGACGCUCAACGUCGAGUCGGCCGUCGAUACUGCAUCGCUGGAGCACUGUAGAGGCAGAUGGAAUUCCGGGUGUAGCGGUGGAAUGCGUAGAGAUCCGGAAGAACACCGGUGGCGAAGGCGGCCCGCUGGGCAGGAAGGCUCGCAAGAGCCGGCUGACGCUGAGGCGCGACAGCGUGGGGAGCAAACAGG